GACGAACGCUGGCGGCGUGCUUAACACAUGCAAGUCGAACGAAGAGCGAUGGAAGCUUGCUUCUAUCAAUCUUAGUGGCGAACGGGUGAGUAACGCGUAAUCAACCUGCCCUUCAGAGGGGGACAACAGUUGGAAACGACUGCUAAUACCGCAUACGAUCUAAACUCGGCAUCGAGGAUAGAUGAAAGGUGGCCUCUACAUGUAAGCUAUCACUGAAGGAGGGGAUUGCGUCUGAUUAGCUAGUUGGAGGGGUAACGGCCCACCAAGGCGAUGAUCAGUAGCCGGUCUGAGAGGAUGAACGGCCACAUUGGGACUGAGACACGGCCCAGACUCCUGCGGGAGGCAGCAGUGGGGAAUCUUCCGCAAUGGACGAAAGUCUGACGGAGCAACGCCGCGUGAGUGAUGACGGCCUUCGGGUUGUAAAGCUCUGUUAAUCGGGACGAAAGGCCUUCUUGCGAAUAGUGAGAAGGAUUGACGGUACCGGAAUAGAAAGCCACGGCUAACUACGUG
rnacentral:rRNA from 1 species